AAGGCUUCAGUAUGACCCAGUCAGAACCAUAAGUCUCAAAGCCCCGACGAGUAGGGUGGCGUGCCGGUGCGCGUUGAAGGCCAAGACGUGAGUCAGGCUGGAGCCGCCGGUAGUGCAGAUCUUGGUGGUAGUAGCAAGUACUCUGGUGAACCAACCUGGAGCUGUGAGGUCUGGAUCAGGGUUCCAUGUCAACAGUGAUUGAACAUGGGUGAGUCGAUCCUAAGCCAACUGUGAAAGCAGUGACAUCCCGACAAAGGGGCUAUUUCGUGCGCCGGCACCUCUUGCACCCCCAGGGCCAUGAGUGCUCAAGUAUCUCUCUCUCGAACGCAAGGAAAAAAAGGUUGCUCUCAUAUAUACGCGCUUGCGCGCACACACGGUGAUCGCAUUUAAAAUUCGUGCGUGAGUGUGAUGCGCGUGCGCAGGUCUGAUUACGCUCAUAAGCGUUGCUGGUUGCUGUCUGGUAUUCUCACAAAACGAGAGAGAGAGAGAAAUAUANUGNGUGAGNGCGAGAGAGGCUGCUCCUGCAUGAGCUCCCUGCGUCUGGUUCCAUGUCUGGCGAAAGGGAAUGGGGACUUUGUUCCUUGACCGGUCCCGGCACCCUCGAUUGGCUUUGCCAGUUAAUGGUCCAUGCAAAUGGAACCAGGCCACAGCCGCCGGCAGUCGCCCGAGGAAGAGUUUUCUUUUCUGCUUAACGCACGAGGUCAUCCCUGGAAACAGUUCGGCUGGCGAAAGGGUGCCCCGUUGCGGCAGAGCGCCACGACUGUCGUGCGCGUCUCGGUGUUCCUGCCGGUCCGUGAAAACGUGGUCGAGGGGAUUGCUGUAUUGUAUCAACGAAACGCCCGACAAGUUCGGGACGGACCGUACCCUAUAUCCGCAUCUGGUCUCCAAGGUUCGUAGCCUCUGCAGAGUCAGACACAUGUAGGUAAGGGAAGUCGGCAAACUCGAUCCGUAACUUCGGGAAAAGGAUUGGCUCUGAGGGCCGAGCUGGGCCGGGCCUUGCCUGCAAAGCAGUACCUAUAGUGACCGGAGUUUCAGGAGUGCGAGGGGCUCUAGUAGCUGCUUGUGCGUGUGUGCGUUCGCGCGCGCGCGCGUGUGGGCACGAACGAGUUCACCGCUCCGCUCCAACCACGAACGGCUGUGACGGCAAGGGCUCUGGGCGGGAGCAAUCAAACCGUUGGCCUCCAGCUCGUCUGGCUGGCGGCGGUGCUCCGUCUGACCCAUACGGCUCCAGCGGCUAGCGGCUAACUCAGAACUGUCAUGGACCAAGGGAAUCCGACUGUCUAAUUAAAACAAAGCGUCGUGACGGCCCCUGUUGGGUGUUGACGCGACGUGAUUUCUGCCCAGUGC
rnacentral:rRNA from 1 species